AUGCUCACUUCAGCAGCAUAUAUACUGAAAUUGAAAUGAUACAGAGAUUAGCAUGGCCCCCUGAGCAAGGAUGACAUGCAAAUUCAUGAAGUGUUCCGUAUUUUU
ensembl:snRNA U6 U6 spliceosomal RNA